rnacentral:rRNA from 1 species
CGUGUAGCCGGGCCGACAAGUCAGAUGUGAAAUCCGCGGGCUUAACCCGCGAACUGCAUUUGAAACUGUUGGUCUUGAGUAUCGGAGAGGUCAUCGGAAUUCCUAGUGUAGCGGUGAAAUACGUAGAUAUUAGGAAGAACACCAGUGACGAAGGCGGAUGACUGGACGACAACUGACGGUGAGGCGCGAAAGCGUGGGGAGCAAACA